rnacentral:rRNA from 1 species
AUUGAACGCUGGCGGCAGGCCUAACACAUGCAAGUCGAGCGGAAACGAGUUAUCUGAACCUUCGGGGGAUGAUAACGACGUCGAGCGGCGGACGGGUGAGUAAUGCCUAGGAAAUUGCCCUGAUGUGGGGGAUAACCAUUGGAAACGAUGGCUAAUACCGCAUGAUGCCUACGGGCCAAAGAGGGGGACCUUCGGGCCUCUCGCGUCAGGAUAUGCCUAGGUGGGAUUAGCUAGUUGGUGAGGUAAGGGCUCACCAAGGCGACGAUCCCUAGCUGGUCUGAGAGGAUGAUCAGCCACACUGGAACUGAGACACGGUCCAGACUCCUACGGGAGGCAGCAGUGGGGAAUAUUGCACAAUGGGCGCAAGCCUGAUGCAGCCAUGCCGCGUGUGUGAAGAAGGCCUUCGGGUUGUAAAGCACUUUCAGUCGUGAGGAAGGUAGUGUAGUUAAUAGCUGCAUUACUUGACGUUAGCGACAGAAGAAGCACCGGCUAACUCCGUGCCAGCAGCCGCGGUAAUACGGAGGGUGCGAGCGUUAAUCGGAGUUACUGGGCGUAAAGCGCAUGCAGGUGGUUUGUUAAGUCAGAUGUGAAAGCCCGGGGCUCAACCUCGGAAUAGCAUUUGAAACUGGCAGACUAGAGUACUGUAGAGGGGGGUAGAAUUUCAGGUGUAGCGGUGAAAUGCGUAGAGAUCUGAAGGAAUACCGGUGGCGAAGGCGGCCCCCUGGA